GAUAGCACUGUCAGCUGUGGUCUUAUUUUGUCUCCACACAGCAGAUAACUUAGCAAAUGCAGAACCAGAGACAACAUUGUCCCACCCAGCUUUUUCACUGCUCGUUCUGAUACUCUGAGAGUACUCCUCAAAUAUGCAUGGCUUUUGUUGGGCUUGGCUUCCCCGCAGGAGUGCUGUCUGCAGGUCUCAGGACUAUUUCCCCAGCUGGCUCAAGCAGUCAAACAAAAGACGCAGGGUCUUACUGUCUGUUUCAUCCGGAAGGACAACUCGAUGAGGACACCAGAUAACUUGUAGAUAAUUGUGCUCCUUCUCAAGAACAGAUGAAAAGUCUCCCUUUUUAUCGCAUCACAAGGAACUGAAAAACAUACGCUCAUUCCAUUGCUGUCAGAAUCAAAUCUCCUUUCUGAAAGGGCCUUCCAGGGCCUUUGCUUAGGCUAGACUUACCUUACAUACUUGGGUUGUUCUGGAGCAAUCAUCACUGCGUGCUUACAGCAUGACUUUGUGUCACCUACACACUCCAGCCCAAUACGGUAUUUAAAUGAAAGUCCAUUGUUCUGACCAGUGGUGUUCUGAUUGCACACGUCUUUGGAUCCAACAGGGAGAAGGACAAUUUUCUGGUGUUUGGAGAUGACCAUUAAUUCAGCCAUCUGCUUUCAGGAGCUCUUCUUGCAGCCAACCUGAAGGACUAUGACUUUUCCCAACAGUUUGAUCCAAUCUGCCACAACAUCCUAGGCGCAUCUACCCAAAGCCACGUCGCAAGGGAAUAGUGGUCCCUGGCUCUGUGGCAUGACUCUUUUCCAGCUUGCAAGACACACUCUUAGCAAUUUUGCUGUCUACUCUGCUUCCUCUAAAAUGUAGACUGAUUCUAGGUAACAAGGACAUAAUUCUGGAUCUAACCUGUUUAUUUGCUAUUUUCCUGAGGAAUAACUGGACAAUUGAACACGUGGGCUUUUGCUGAAAUCCCAUGCCAAUCAUUGCAAAAAUGUUCUUAGGAAAAAGCUAUUCCUUUGUUUCUUCUCAAACAUACUGUGUAUGUACUCACCAUCUAUUUGCCCUUCAGUGGUUGGCAUCCGUCACUAUAUCAGCCCAGCAAAAUACAGGUGGAACUACAGCAGAUGGUGCAUAUCCCUGCAAGCUUAAUCUAACAGAAGUAACAUUAAGGGCACCUUCUUCAGGAAAAGGAGAUUUUUGCUCAAGGAGUAGAAUAUGAAAAUAUCGAGAUACCAAAUGUUAUGAAUCCAGCAAUAACAUAGCUCCCCUGAUAAUGACAAUGGUUUGAAUAUUUUUUAUUUGAGCAGAUCUGCCUGCAUUACCAAUAUCUACAGUGUUGCUUGGUAACUAUUUUCCGAUACCAGGAGACUGAAAAACACUUUUUUCAAAACUAAAUUCCAAUUCUGAUAUUAAGUCUUGCAUUUUAGUGGUUUCAGUCUGUCCUCUGUAUUGCUGUCCAGCUACAGCAAUAUUCUCGGUAACAUUCUUAUGUAGCAUGCACACGUUCUUUACUUUCUUUCCUUGACUAUAUUACAGAAGAUGUCAGACACUGGAAGUAUUUACGUCAAGACCAGAUAUCUUUCAGAAGGAAUGCUGUGCUUCAGGUGUGCUGGGCUCCAGAAAGAGACAAGGAAGAAGUAACUAUGGCUCCAGAAGUGCAAAUACCCUUUCUUUGUGAGUGGCUCUGCCCGUACGAGUAAAUCCCAGCAAAGUCUCUGAGAUAAUUCACGUGCACAAGACUGUGCCGCCCGGGACCGUGACACUCGUGUAUAGCUCAGCUGGAAAGCCUCUUACUCUUCUUUAUGGUAUACAUUUUUAAAGGCUUCCAAACUGUUUAUAUUAAUAAUUGUGAAAGCUGAGGGUCUGAGCAUGCCUGAGUUGUAGUUGUAGCAUAACCCAGAGACAGCAAGGGUUUUUACAAUGACCAAACAAAAAAUCCAGCUUUGUUUUCGGUGUGUGAAUGCUGACCUUAUGAAGUAUAUUGAAAUGAAAGAA